GGUAGGUGGCAAGCGUUGUCCGGAAUUAUUGGGCGUAAAGCGCGCGCAGGUGGGUUCUUUAAGUCCGAUGUGAAAGCCCCCGGGCUCAACCGGGGAGGGUCAUUGGAAACUGGGGAACUUGAGUGCAGGAGAGGAAAGUGGAAUUCCACGUGUAGCGGUGAAAUGCGUAGAUAUGUGGAGGAACACCAUGGCGAAGGCGACUUUCUGGCCUGUAACUGACACUGAGGCGCGAAAGCGUGGGGGAGCAAACAGGAUUAGAUACCCUGGUAGUCCACGCCGUAAACGAUGAGUGCUAAGUGUUGGGGGGGUUUCCGCCCCUCAGUGCUGCAGCUAACGCAUUAAGCACUCCGCCUGGGGAGUACGGUCGCAAAGACUG
rnacentral:rRNA from 1 species